rnacentral:rRNA from 1 species
UACGGGAGGCAGCAGUGGGGAAUAUUGGGCAAUGGGGGGAAACCCUGACCCAGCAACGCCGCGUGAGGGAAGAAGGUUUUCGGAUCGUAAACCCUCUGUCCUUGGUGAAGAGGAAGAGACGGUAGCCAAGGAGGAAGCCCCGGCUAACUACGUGCCAGCAGCCGCGGUAAU